rnacentral:rRNA from 1 species
GUCAGCAGCUGUAUUGCCUUGCACCUCACGACUGGCAGCCCACUGAAGCUCAGCAGGUGUGAGCCUCGUCAGUACCUGGAUGGGAGACCUCUUGGGAAAGCUGAGGUUGCUGCCGGAA